CUCAAUAGGAGGGUGGGAAGGAAGGAAAUAAUAGGUAGGGAGAUUCGGCUCCUAUUGUAACAUACCGGAUUUUGAUAUAAAAGUAAAAAUAAAUAAAAAUAGUGUGAGAUGCUAUUUUUAUUGGAUUUAGAGAAGUAAAAAAUAAGUCAGAAGUGACUUGUGCUGAAAUCGGAACGAAAAUAGAAGAUUUAGAAUUUUCUGUGAGAAANGGUGGGAAGGAAGGAAAUAAUAGGUAGGGAGAUUCGGCUCCUAUUGUAACAUACCGGAUUUUGAUAUAAAAGUAAAAAUAAAUAAAAAUAGUGUGAGAUGCUAUUUUUAUUGGAUUUAGAGAAGUAAAAAAUAAGUCAGAAGUGACUUGUGCUGAAAUCGGAACGAAAAUAGAAGAUUUAGAAUUUUCUGUGAGAAAUGGGGCUGAAAAAUUAGCAGAAAAUACACAGUGUCAGAAAAUUAUGAAACUGAUAUGUCAAAAUUAUUUUUAUGAGGCUAGAUUUAAAGUUUCAUGCCAUUUUAACACCCGGAAAGUGAAAAAUAAAAUCCGACUGCUGCUAUUUGCUAGAGAUUACAGUUUAGUAGAGCUUUCAGUGACCAAACAGGGUCGAAACUGAAA
rnacentral:lncRNA from 1 species